rnacentral:lncRNA from 1 species
UUUAGUUCCUUUAUGUCAUAGUUCUAGCUCGGCUGCCAGCUGGUUCACCUGAACAACUGCCCUCUGUGACUAAAUGAAUCUUCUACAUCUCUAUGCACACGAAAUGGAGAUGCUCAGAUGACCUACCUCAACAUGCUGUCGUGAUGGUGAGCUGAAAUAUUUGAAGAGAGGCUAUCAUGCGAUCCGGUAUCACCACAGAAGUCUGACUGAACAGGAAAGGAGAGACAGGAAGGUCAGCACCACAUUGAAGCAGUCUGGUACACACUCUCCCAGCUAUUGAUGCCUUGGAAGAGGGGAGAGGC